CUACGAAAACUGCACAAUGUGGGAAACCACGAUGCGGGCAUUCCGAGUGACAACGCAUUGCGUUGUCUGUUCUCUCGCCUAAAAAGCGAGAGAAGUAAGGGCCGGGUAAGACGGGUGCCAGCCGCCGCGGUAAUACCCGCGGCCCGAGUGGUGCUCAUUAUUAUUGAGCUUAAAGCGUUCGUAGCCGGCCUCGUAAAUCCUUGGGUAAAUCGGGCAGCUCAACUGUUCGACUUCCGAGGAGACUGCGAGGCUCGGGACCGGGAGAGGUCAGAGGUACUUCAGGGGUAGGGGUAAAAUCCUGUAAUCCUUGAAGGACCACCAGUGGCGAAGGCGUCUGACUAGAACGGAUCCGACGGUGAGGGACGAAGCCCUGGGGCGCAAACGGG
rnacentral:rRNA from 1 species